ACAUGUCACAGCUCCAUUGGUUGGUUUCACCUAUUUUCCACAUGUCGUUAGCUGAUUGGUCCAAAUCCUUGCAUUUUGAUUGGUCGAAAUCAUUGAAUCAUUAAUUAGAAAUGUCAAUAGCACACGGUUUUGUCUUUAUUCAUACAUGGUUUUGUCAAUAUUAAUGGAAAAUAAGUUUGAAAUUAUUGUUAUAUUCCUUAAUUUCAUUAAGAUACCAGCUGUUUUUACUUUUUUAUUUUUCCACACGGUUAAUUUUCAUUCCAAAUCUGUGGCCAUAUUGCUCCUUAAUUAACCCCAAAUCUGAUUCAUAUUUUCGAAAUCACUUAAUUCGUGAUGAAUCAACUUUAAAUCGUGAUUUCAUCCCUAAGCUCUCCAUCUCUUUUAAUUCGUGUUUCUUACGGCCUCUUCAGAUGUUGGUCCUGUCAACCCCCCCUUUCUUCCUGUUUCAUCUUCUCCAAUUUGUUUACGAGCAGUUCGUGAUUCGGUUUCUCGCGGCCUCAUCGACUCAGGUAAAUUCAUCUCUGAUGCAAAUUAUACACGUAAUUUUGUGAGAGAAAUCAGAUCUGGCCUAAACCCCAAUCUGUCGACGCUGACGAUGGCCAAUUUCAGACUCAGAACGAUGCUCCACCAAUAAGAUCGUGAGAUCGCAGUGCAGAACGGAGGAGGUUGAAUCUGGAAAGUUCAUAAGGAAAUAUGAGAAAACCGUAGAGCUUAUCCGCAACUGCGUCGGAAGGGUUUACCAUACCAAUUAGUGUUACCCUUCAAGAAUUACGGCAGAGACUUGAGGACUUAGGAGCAAAGCUCCAACUGUGGAAGUGAUGCUCAAGAAUUUGACUAUUGAGGUUGAUUCCUAUGUUGUCAGCACUCAGCAGAGCUUUGCCAAACCUACCAAGCUCUGCAUUGAACAUUGUAGAAAUACUUCUUGGUGCCUGUGGGAUUAGUACUGCUACGAGAACAAAGCUCAUACUUCCAAAUUUUUCUUCAUUGUUACGAGAUAUAUAGGCUUCAUUGCACAGCGACUUGAUGCUCACUCACCUAGCAACAACUGAUUCAUGUAUCAGUUUACUGAAUUUCUUAUGUUCAUUAUUGAGUGCUACUCGAUCGGUGAUUCAUCCUCCCGAGAAAUUGAGUAUCAUAGUGCCACUAAUCCAAAGAAGACAUCGUGGGUUGGAAAUGGAGAGAAGAGUAAAGGCAGAAUGAGAAAGGAGUAAAGGAUUGCCUUCCACCAAACCAACCAACAA